GAUGAACGCUGGCGGCGUGCCUAAUACAUGCAAGUCGAGCGAACGGACGAGAAGCUUGCUUCUCUGAUGUUAGCGGCGGACGGGUGAGUAACACGUGGAUAACCUACCUAUAAGACUGGGAUAACUUCGGGAAACCGUAGCUAAUACCGGAUAAUAUUUUGAACCGCAUGGUUCAAAAGUGAAAGACGGUCUUGCUGUCACUUAUAGAUGGAUCCGCGCUGCAUUAGCUAGUUGGUAAGGUAACGGCUUACCAAGGCAACGAUGCAUAGCCGACCUGAGAGGGUGAUCGGCCACACUGGAACUGAGAGACGGUCCAGACUCCUACGGGAGGCAGCAGUAGGGAAUCUUCAGCAAUGGGCGAAAGCCUGGCGGAGCAACGCCGCGUGAGUGAUGAAGGUCUUCGGAUCGUAAAACUCUGUUAUUAGGGAAGAACAUAUGUGUAAGUAACUGUGCACAUCUUGACGGUACCUAAUCAGAAAGCCACGGCUAAAUACGUG
rnacentral:rRNA from 1 species